UAUUAUCACACACUGAAAAAAAAGAUUUGUUGGAUUUACUCAAUUGAAUUAUGGACAUUGGUUCCACACAUUCCGUUCGAGUUCAAAGUAUCCUAUGCAUUUAUGUGGUUUCAUUAUAAUACGGUUGUGUUAAUCCUAUGCAAUUUCAAAAAGUAAUGUGUACAUAGUCUUUUCAAGUUAUACUAACAUAAUUCUGUUAUGCUAGUUUAACAUUAUUAUUUUAUUUCAGAUAUCUGCUUCAAUCAUGUUAAUUCUGUGCAAUUAAAUCAAGUUAUCUUAACAUAAUUUUAAUAACUUCACUCAAAUAAAAUUUUAAUACACAUUUCAAUGGUUUGUUGUCGCAUGUUUCAUUUCAUGUAACACAAAAACCUUUUGUAAAUCCUUUAUUUAAUAAUUUGAACAAUGUGUAAUUUAAAUGGCAUGUCUAAAUAACAUUGUGCUUUCAAAAGCAUAGCAUAAAUGACUUCUCUGAUGAUUAAAUUUAAUAAAAAUACAUAUCAGUUUUAAUUAGACUAGUAUAAAAACAAAGACAGUUCAUUUUGUAAGCAUAACAUGUAGAUCAACAAUAUAUGUAAACCUUCAUAAGUUUUACAAGAUUUCUUUCUUUUUUUUAAACAAGAUCAUAAACAUAAGUAACAUUAUACUGCAUGUAACUGUGUGUUUAAAAACUAAUAAAACAUUGUAACACUAAUUUAUUUCAUUUUUCUCAGAAACCUUAAAACUGUACCCAAGAACACCAGUACCUGGAACUAGGGCUGCAUGAUGUUCACAUCGCAGGAUGUGCGAUGUAGGCUGUCGUAGUUGAUCCGUUAUUCAUUAACAGUACGGGCCAGCUGCUCCCCGGCUCUUGACGAAUGUGAUUCGCAGAUUAAUUGUACAGCUUAACCAUCAUAGAGUGAAAGUUUACCAUUUACAUGUGUUUUUAAGUCCUGUCAGUUUAACAGGGCAGAGAGAGCGCGCGAGAGAGAAGAGAGAGAGAGAGAGGGAGAGGGAGAGAGAG